AACGAACGCUGGCGGCAUGCCUAACACAUGCAAGUCGAACGAGACCUUCGGGUCUAGUGGCGCACGGGUGCGUAACGCGUGGGAACCUGCCCUUAGGUUCGGAAUAACUCCCCGAAAGGGGUGCUAAUACCGGAUAAUGUCUUCGGACCAAAGAUUUAUCGCCUUUGGAUGGGCCCGCGUUGGAUUAGCUAGUUGGUAGGGUAAAAGCCUACCAAGGCGACGAUCCAUGGCUGGUCUGAGAGGAUGAUCAGCCACACUGGGACUGAGACACGGCCCAGACUCCUACGGGAGGCAGCAGUGGGGAAUAUUGGACAAUGGGCGAAAGCCUGAUCCAGCCAUGCCGCGUGAGUGAUGAAGGCCUUAGGGUUGUAAAGCUCUUUUACACGGGAUGAUAAUGACAGUACCGGGAGAAUAAGCUCCGGCUAACUCCGUG
rnacentral:rRNA from 1 species